UUCUGGCUCAGGAUGAACGCUGGCGGCGUGCCUAACACAUGCAAGUCGAACGGAGUUACUUUAAGGAAGUUUCGGAUGGAAUUGAAAUAACUUAGUGGCGGACGGGUGAGUAACGCGUGGGUAACCUGCCUCAUACAGGGGGAUAACAGCCGGAAACGGCUGCUAAAACCGCAUAAGCAUACAGCAUCGCAUGAUGCAGUGUGAAAAAUAUUGAUAGGUAUGAGAUGGGCCCGCGUCUGAUUAGCUGGUUGGUGAGGUAAAGGCCCACCAAGGCGACGAUCAGUAGCCGGCUUGAGAGAGUGACCGGCCACAUUGGGACUGAGACACGGCCCAGACUCCUACGGGAGGCAGCAGUGGGGAAUAUUGCACAAUGGGGGAAACCCUGAUGCAGCGACGCCGCGUGAGUGAGGAAGUAUUUCGGUAUGUAAAGCUCUAUCAGCAGGGAAGAAAAUGACGGUACCUGACUAAGAAGCCCCGGCUAACUACGUGCCAGCAGCGGC
rnacentral:rRNA from 1 species